AAAUGAAUAGACGGGGACCCGCACAAGCGGUGGAGCAUGUGGUUUAAUUCGAAGCAACGCGAAGAACCUUACCAAGUCUUGACAUCCCGGUGACCGGACAGUAAUGUGUCCUUUUCUUCGGAACACCGGUGACAGGUGGUGCAUGGUUGUCGUCAGCUCGUGUCGUGAGAUGUUGGGUUAAGUCCCGCAACGAGCGCAACCCUUGUCCUUAGUAGCCAGCAGUAAGAUGGGCACUCUAGGGAGACUGCCGGGGAUAACUCGGAGGAAGGUGGGGACGACGUCAAAUCAUCAUGCCCCUUAUGACUUGGGCUACACACGUGCUACAAUGGCGUAAACAAAGAGAAGCGAACCCGUGAGGGCAAGCAAACCUCAAAAAUAACGUCUCAGUUCGGAUUGUAGUCUGCAACUCGACUACAUGAAGCUGGAAUCGCUAGUAAUCGCAGAUCAGAAUGCUGCGGUGAAUACGUUCCCGGGUCUUGUACACACCGCCCGU
rnacentral:rRNA from 1 species